ensembl:snRNA U6 U6 spliceosomal RNA
AUGCUCGCUUCAGCAACACAUAUACUAAAAUUGGAACUAUACAGAGAAGAUGAGCAUGGCCCCUUGUGCAAGGAUGACAUGCAAAUCCAUGAAGUGUUCUGUAUUUGU